rnacentral:rRNA from 1 species
UACGGGGGAUGCGAGCGUUAUCCGGGUUUAUUGGGUUUAAAGGGUGCGUAGGCGGAUCGUUAAGUCAGUGGUCAAAUUGAGGGGCUCAACCCCUUCCCGCCAUUGAAACUGGCGAUCUUGAGUGGAAGAGAAGUAUGCGGAAUGCGUGGUGUAGCGGUGAAAUGCAUAGAUAUCACGCAGAACCCCGAUUGCGAAGGCAGCAUGCCGGCUUCCUACUGACGCUGAAGCACGAAAGCGUGGGGAUCGAACAGG